AGAGAACUUAGAAUUAGUUGCAGAGGUUGAAAAGGUCAGCAAUGGAGGAGAACUUAGAAGAGAUCAUUAUGAACGUGCUAUUCCUGUCCUCUGAUCACACACUGAGAAGCCCUUGUGUCAACAGAACAAUAAGGGGUAGAGGUGGGGUUAUCUCUGAAACAGUCACAAAAUAUCCCAUUUUUUAAAAAGAAUCAACAUUUGGGAUCUACCACAUAAAGGAAGCACUAACUUUAGAUUCCAGUGUGGUUCAUCAACAGAACCUACUCCUUAUCCUCUGUUCCAGUUACAAUUGCUGCAUAACAGAUUAUUCCAAUCAGAGAGGUUUAAAACAACCAUUUUAUUAUCUUCACAGAUUCCGAAGAACAGAAAUUCAGAAAAGGAACAGUGGGGCUGGCUUAUUUCUGUUCCAUGAUAUCUGCGAACUCAGCUGGAAGGACUGGAAAGUUAGGGUUUGACUCCCUGGAUGAGGAAUGGAGUCAACUAAGGCUCAUUUACCCACAUAUCUGGAACCUCUGCAGAGAUGACUCAAAGACUAGGAUUACUAAAUGGGCCUACAGACAUGCACAUGGCCUCUCCUUGUGACUUGGCUUCCACAUGGCCCAGGGACGUCAGGGGAGGCAGAGGCCAUAAGUGGAAGCUUAUGUUUCCAAGCAUGAGUGUUCUGGUAAGCAAGGUGGAAGCUGCAUGGCCUUUUAUGACCCAGCCUCAGAGUCACACAGAUCACUUCUGCCAGACUUCAUUGGUUGAAAUUAUGACUCUAUCUGUUUAUGGGAAAGUGGCAAGAUCACAUUGUAGAAAAGCUUGUGGAAUGGGAGACACGGGCCACCUUUGGAAAAUACAAUCUUCCAGAUUUCCCUUCCUCCCCCUAAGUCUGGAGGAGCCAAAAGAGCUGUUAAUAGGGGAAGGAGGGAAAAAAAUCUCAACACGUCCUCUUGGCCUUCCCAUUUCAAGCUUCCCAGCCUAAAAAGGGGGUAGGAGAAAGGAAGAAGAUUUAAAUUCAAUGCAGUUUGAAGUUCGAGAUAUUAUACCUGUUGGAUUAGACAUCUUGAAACUUGAAAACAGAGAUAGUUUAUUACCUGAGAGUGAGAAGACAAGCUGUAAGAACUGACUGAAGUUUCAUCCAGGGAAGGGGUUGGCUGUGUAUGUGCUUCAGAGUGGAGGCAUAAAGUUGUUUUCCACCUGAACCCUACUAGGCUUAAUUCACUCAACGUGGCUGUAGGAGGCCUGCACAUGCCUUACAAUAUGCCGUUUGUCUGCA
rnacentral:lncRNA from 1 species